UUUCCCCAAAAUCAUUAGUGCCAGAGGACGAAAAGAAUAAAAACAUCCAGAAAACACACAAAACCAUACCCAAAAAGCCUAAAGUAGAGUGGGCGAAGGAGCAGAUGAAACAACACAGAGACCGGAUGGUGAGAGGCAGAGCGCUCACCGAGCAGAGAAAGGACCAGAAGAAGACGCCAAUGUUAACCAGCCACGCCCGCCCUCACUUAAAACCCAAAGGGAAGAAAAAGGAAAAGAAAGAGUUUGAAAAGGUCAUAGCUUAUCCCAUCUACCAGCCUUCCAACGAAUCACUUAUAGAAGUGACAGUUCUGAUGGAAAAGUCGAAGGCGGAAAACGUACAAAAACCACUCCAAAGGGAACUCCUGAGUAUGCCACCAUUUUUGAAAAGUCAACUAAAGAGAAAUAAAAAGCUUAAGCCA
rnacentral:lncRNA from 1 species